GAUCAUGUGUGUGCACGCAUGAGCAGCCUGUGGUUCAUCCACACUCAGCAUCUCAGGAAGCCUUGGCCACACCCCAGCCUCAGCAGCCCCAUCACCUCUCCUCCAGAAGCCACAGACUCUUCCUGACUCUGGCUUUGUGCCUUCCCCUGAUGGCCUCUAAGUUCCAGCUCAACACAAAUGCCUACCGUGCUCGGAGCGGGGUGUGUAGUGAGAAGGACCUGGGGCUCAUGUCCCUAUGGGUCCCUGAUUGUUCUCUAAGAGUGCGGGGUAAGAGCAGAGACACCAGCACUAGGUGGCUCCUGUGGAUACUCUGGGCCUCUGUCUCCAUCUGACCUCGUGAGAAAGAUUGUCCUGGUUAGUUUUUAUCGUCACCUCAACACAAUCUAGUGUCACCUUGGAAGGUAGAAGAAUUGCUUCAAUCAGAUUGACCUGUGGCCAUGUCUGUAAGAGAUUGUCUUGACCCAUUAUUGAGGUGAGGGCCCAGCCCACUGUGGGCAGCACUGUCCCUAGGUAGAUGGGCCUGGACUGAAAAGAGCCAAAUGAGCCAGGAAGCAGCAUCCCCCAUGACUCUGCUUCAGUUCACACUUGAGUUCCCACUCUGACUUCCCUCAGUGGCGAACUGUGACUUGAAGGUGUAAGGUGAAAUCAGCCCUUUGCUCCCCAAGUUGCUUUGGGCUGAGCAUUUUAUCAGAGCAACAGAAGGCAACAGUAUUAGCGCCAACCCUUAACGUGUGUAAGUUGUGUGGGAAGCAGCUGGCACAGAAUCCCAUCUUCAGCUCUCCCCCCGCAGACUUCAACACCCUGACUCGAGGCCCUAAGCCCUGUUCAGGGCACAUGCUGUCAUAUUUGCCUCCCGUGUGGAGCCCACCAGGCAGGGUUCCAUCUUCCCUCCCUGAGGGUUCUCUGGGGUGGUGGUAUUCCACAGGUGAGUUGUAACCCAGCGCUGAGCAGAGCCCCUGUGCCUGAGCAUCCAGUUAGCAUUUGCUUCUUGUAGUCUUAAGUCAGGGAAGGGUAUUGGAAGAGUGUGGCUGGGUGGUUCCCAGUUGCUUGACUAUGGCUCACCUGGAAGUGUGUAGGGCUGUUGAUUGCAUAGGCACGCUCCUGAAGGAUGUAGAUCCAUGGUUACCUGAGCACAUCAGUUACUUAGACAUGACAGAACUACUUAAGGAUUUAUUUUGCUCAUGGUUUGAGGUUCAGUCCCCUGUGGCAGGAGCAUGAGGCUGCUUGUUCACAGUAAGCAAGAAGCAGAGAAAAUGGAACAUUAUUGUUUAGCGCUCGCUCUCUAUUCGGUUCCGGACCCAGACCAUGGAACGGUGCCACCCACUUUCAGGGUGGAUUUUUCUUCAUGAGUUGCUCCUCACCGAAAACAUUCUCACAGAUGUACCCAGAGGUUGUCUCCUGCAUGAUAUUUUAUUAUUAUUUGUAUGUGUGUAUUUUGUCUAUGUGUAUGUCUGUGAACUAUGUGCACCCCUGAUGUCCACGGAGGCCUGACAUCCAUGGAAGUCAGAAGAGGGUGUUUGAUUCCUGGAACUGGAGUUAUAGAACAUUGUGGUUGUGAGCCUCCAUGUGGGUGCUGAGAGUUGAACCCAGGACCUCUGGAAGAGCGGCCAGUGCUCAGAGCCGUUAAGCUAUCUCUCCAGCCCCUCGUAAGGAAUUCUAAGUCUAACCAGAGUUGAUCAUCACACUAAAGCUGAGCAUGGUUUGCAUAGGGUGUAGCUGCUGUCUAGGACCAGGAUGAUGUGUGGGGUGGAGGAAAUGGUCUAAACUCAGGGUAUGGGGCUGAAGAGAUUGCUCAGCAGUUAAGAGCAUUUGCUUUUACAGACGACCUGGGCUCAGUGCUCAGCACCCACAUGGCAUCUAACAGCUGUCUGUAACUCCGUUUCUAGGGGAUUCCAUGGCCCUCUCUGGCCUUCAUGGGCACCACACACAUGAUAUGUUUACAGACAUGCACACAAAACACUCAUACAAUAAAUAUAUAUUUUAAAUUAGAUUAGAAUAAUAGUGAAAGCCUCAAAACUCACUGACUCACACGCUUUCCCGAGGAGUUUUGUAGAGUAUCACACUAAUGCUGCUAAACACAGUUCCAGAGCCACAGCCCAUUUCCUGGGGAAAGCCGUCCCCACAGUUGGUUUCCCAUAAGCAAAGCUUGGUUGGAGAAUUAACAGUCCACCUUUACAGUCAGGAAUUCUUUACUUAGCGUUCUUGACAGGUGGCAGCCUUAUGGGACAGCCUCCACAGCUAGCCUUCUGUAGCAAGCGUGUCCUUUUCCACAGGAAGAAGAGACUUCUCUGUCAUUCGCUCAUUGUCCACACAGCACACAUAGAAGGAAGGUGCCUUCCCCGCUCUUCUACUCUUGGCUCCUUCCUGUUUGCCGUAUCCUGAAGAGCACCGUAGCUUAUGCUGCCUCAUUUGCUGGUUGCCCCUAGUGAUGCUGUCAGCAGGGUCCAUCUUCUGCACCUCGAACCUGGAGCUAAACACAGUCCAGCAAUUAGAGUCCACCCCAGUGCAAUUAGGCUCAUGGAUCCAUCUCAUAUCAACACAUGUUUGUCAAAGUGCAGCUUAAGACACUGAUAGCAGCCAGGCAGUGGUAUCUCAAAGCUUUAAUCCCAGCACUUGGGAGGUAGAGACAGGUGGAUCUCUGAGGCCAGCCUGGUCUACAGAGCAAGUUCCAGGACAGUCUCCAAAGCUACAGAGAAACCCUGUCACACACACCCCCAAAAAGGCACACUGUUAGCAUUUUCUCUUAAUUAUUUUUCGAUAUUACACUAUAAUUACAAAUUUUCCCCUUUCCUUUUCCUCCCUCCAGGCCCUCCCAUCCCUCUUUUCCGCCCUCUGUAUAAUGUUACAUUUUAUGUGUAUGAUUCAGGGUUUGCCCAUUGGUGUGCUCUUCCCUGGAGAAGACUGUUUCUCCUGCUCUCAGGACUCCUCAGUUGCCUGCAGUUCUUUGUCUAGGGUUGAGGCCACAGCUUUCCCCAUCCAAGUUAGCGUGUCCGUUGGUGUGGUUCAUGUUCAAGUCACUUAGGCAGCCAUGAUGGUAAGAAUUCAGGGCUCCAGCUUCUGGCAUUUCUAGGAGACACAGUCUCACGGCAGAUGCCUUGUUCCUCUGACUCUUACAGUCCUCCCACCCCCUCCUCUAUGGUGGUUUUGGAGCCUUUGGCACAUAUAGACGGAGACUGCUUGCUGGUUUCCCAGUCGCCUGGAUGCAAAUAACUACACAGAAGCAGUAUUAAUUGCAACACUGUUUGGCCAAUAGUUCAUGCAUAUUUCUAGCUAACUCUUUUUUUUUUUAUAAAUCUUUUCUUUUUUUAAUAUUUAUUAUGUAUACAGUAUUCUGUCUGCUUGUAUGCCUGCAGGCCAGAAGAGGGCACCAUACAUCAUUACAGAUGGUUGUGAGCCACCAUGUGGUUGCUGGGAAUUGAACUCUGGACCUUUGGAAGAGCAGGCAAUGCUCUUAACCACUGAGCCAUCUCUCCAGCCCCCAGCUAACUCUUAUAUCUUAAAUUAACCCAUUUCUAUUCAUCUGUGAAUCACCGUGAGGGUGUGGCCUAUCAGUAAAGUUCUGACAAGUACCUGGCAUCCAUCUUUCUCCUUCAGCAGUUACAUGGCGUCUCCCUCAUUCCGCCUACUUUCUCUCUAUAUCUCUGUUCGGAUUUCCCGCCUGGCUUUAUUCUACCAAGUCAUUGGCCAAAAGAGCUUUAAUAAUCAAUGGUAAUAAAACAUAUUCAUAGCAUACAGAGUGGAAUCCCACAUGAGGUGCAGGAGCGCGUUGUAGGUCCCAGAGCCCUAGGUGCAGGAGCGCGGUGCAGGUCCCAGAGCCCUAGGUGCAGGAGCGCGGUGCAGAUGUAUCUGUUGGUUGGGACUGGGAUUGUGAUCAGUUGUGCUUUUCUAUAGUGGUCUCCAUCUGUUGCUGGCCGAGUCAGAAUCUGAGUGAAUGCCCCACUUGGAGCCAUUGUUGAAAAUGUUAGGAGUCCAAGCCCCAUCACCUACCAAUAGCCAGUUCUCUAGGUGCACUUGGGUCCAUGGGAAUUGUGAUCUGGACAUUCUCAUCAAGAGCCUGGGCCAUGGAAGGUUCUGGAGAACAUGGACACAGUAGGAGUGGGUCUCCAGGGCAGGCCAGUGAGUCUUUGUCACCUUGUGCUGUGUGCAGAGCCCUAUCCUGAGCUGCAUAGUGCUCUGUUGGGUUUUAGCUGGCUGCCUUCUGGUACCCAUAGGGGCUUUUAGUUUGGAAACUAGUGUUUUUGCUAGAGAAGACCUAAGAAAGAGAGCUGCCCUUUAUGAAGCGCUCUGGGGUCUCCCGUUUCCUCAUAGAAUGCACAAGGGCCACUAUCCUGAGUGCCCUACAGCGAUGUAUCAGGUUCAGUCUGUUUGUCUUCCUGAGCCCCCACUCUCUGGGGCUCUUGUUUUUGCGGCUUCCCUGACUCUGCAGGCUCCUGUCCUACUUGCCUGGCCUUUCCCCAUGGUCCUUCUAAGGUGAACAGCCCAGGUCCACAGCCUACUCUCCCGGAGCCUUCUACUCUGAGCCUCCAACAUCCAUGCAGGUGGUCAGCUCACGCUGACAAGGAAUGAGUCAGGAGUAUGAGGGGAGGUAGGCCUGAGGCUGGCCAUCACCUCAGCCAAGCUCCUGAAAGAGAUGAGACAGGGGUGAUGGUGCUCCUCAUCCACACUACAGCCUACAGGUGUUCCCGUGUACACUAGGUCAUGGGGGUCCUCAUCCAUGCCAGGUCCCAAGCAAGUACCUGUAGGAUGAAAUUUAAGUUGACUACUCGCCACCCAGUUGCAGGUGAAUCAUUUUGUCCCAACUUUCAAACCUGGUCUCAUCCUGGCCACAGGUGAGGCUGCCAUGGGAGCCAUGGGUAGGAGGCAGAGGGAUGAAGUGGAACAGGUGGUUGCACCCAGUGUCCAAC